UCUCGAUAAUGUAAAAUUUUACUCAAUUUUGUAUGGAGUUGGAACGUUUGCCUACGUUUGCCGCUAGGGGCACUGUUCCAACUCCAUACAAAUUUGUGUUAAUUUUUACGCAAUCGU
rnacentral:pre_miRNA from 9 species